ensembl:lncRNA TRPC2 transient receptor potential cation channel subfamily C member 2 (pseudogene)
GCAGCCUUCGCACUGCGCCUCCUCCUGGCUGGGCUUGCCCCCAUGCACUGCCGGGACGCCUCCCAAGCGGCUGCCUGCCACUAUUUCACCAUGGCUGAAUGAAGCGAGUGGCACACCGAGGAUCCCCAGUUCUUGGCUGAGGUGCUCUUCACUGCCACCAGCAUGCUCAGCUUCACCCGCCUGGCCUACAUUCUGCCGGCCCACGAGUCGCUGGGCACUCUGCAGAUUUCCAUUGGCAAGAUGAUUGAAGACAUGAUCCGUUUCAAUGAGACGUUUCAGUUUCUGUUCUGGACCAUGUUCGGUAUGGAAGAGCACAGCGUGGUGGACGUGCCUCAGUUUCUGGUGCCCGAGUUUGCAGGCCGGGCCCUCUAUGGCAUCUUUACCAUCAUCAUGGUCAUUGUGCUGCUCAACAUGCUCAUUGCUAUGAUCACCAACUCCUUCCAGAAGAUUGAGGAUGAUGCUGACGUGGAGUGGACGUUUGCUCGCUCCAAGCUGUAUCUGUUCUACUUCUGAGAGGGCCUGACACUGCCUGUGCCCUUCAACAUCCUGCCCUCCUCGAAGGCUGUCUUCUACCUUCUCAGGAGAAUUUGCCAGUUCAUUUGCUGUUGCUGUUCCUGCUGCAAAACCAAGAAGCCAGACUAUCCCCCGAUCCCUACUUUUGCCAAUCCCAGGGCAGGGGCUGUGCCUGGGGAGGGAGAGCGUGGAUCCUACCGCCUUCACGUCAUCAAGGCCCUGGUACAGCGCUACACAGAGACUGCCCGGCGAGAAUUCGAGGAGACCCGGCGGAAAGAUCUGGGCAACAGACUCACAGAGCUGACCAAGACCAUAUCUCGACUGCAAAGCGAGGUAGCCGGUGUGCGGUGAACUCUGGCAGAGGGAGGGACGCCCCGGCCUCCCGACGGUGCCAGCGUCCUCAGUCACUACAUCACUCAAGUGCACAACAGCUUCCAGAACCUGGGGCCUCCCAUCCCUGAGACCCCAGAGCUGACAGGGCCUGGGAUUGUGAGGACCCAGGAAUCAUCAGGAACCGGGCUUCAGGACACUGGAGGGGUGAGGACUCUGGCUUCCGGAGAGUCUGGCCCCUGCUCCCCAGCUCAUGUGCUAGUUCAUAGGGAGCAGGAAGCAGAGGGGGCUGGGGACCUGCCCCAGGGGGAGGAUUCGGGGACUGAGAGGAGGUCCUGAUACAGUG